rnacentral:tRNA from 1 species
GCCGAGGUGGCGAAAUGGUAGACGCAUCAGCCUUAGGAGCUGACGGAAUAAUAUCCAUGGAGGUUCGAGUCCUCUCCUCGGCA